GACCUUAUGACACUGAUGUGGAACUGGUCCUCGCGAAGGCCCCGCCAGGCUCCGGGCAGGAAUUCCUUACACCACAGAUACCCGAGACCUGACAUCUUUGCUAUCAAAAUACUAAAGAACCAUAGGAGGGACUACCUAGUUCUCCUGGGAUAAAAGGGUCUCAUCUAACCCAGGCCAGUUGGUUGCCUUAAUCACCCAAUGUAGAUGAGAAUGGCCUUGAACACCAAAUCAACUUUCUUCUACCUCUCAAGUGCUGGCAUUAUGUGUGUACCAACAUGCAUAGCUUCCAAUAACAUUUCAGUAAGAAUUUAAACUGUAAGACUUAGUUCUUCAGUUCUAUACGUACAGCAGCAUACAAGAGGCUAUAGUGGGAAAUACCAGAGGAGAAAGACAUCAUCAUUGUUUUGGUUUGUUUUUUUUAAUUUUGUUUUUUUUUUUUUUUGAGACAAGGGUUCUCUGUACCCUGGCUGUCCUAGAACUCACUGUUUACACAGUGGGGUGGCGACAGUGGGGAUGUAGGGCUUCACAGAAUAUAUGCGUAACCUGCAAGGUCCUCAGCUCUACCCUCAGCAUCACGGAAAAAGUUAAACUCACUCAAAGAUACAGAAAAAUAAGCUAGACAUGACUUAAAUGGAGGCAGGUGAACACAAUGACUGAGAGUCAGCGUGUGUGUGUGUGUGUGUGUGUGUGUGUGUGUGUGUGUGUGUGUGUAGAGGUCAGAGGGCAACUUUCUCCUUCCAUCAUGUGGAUUUCAGGAAUCAAGUUCAGGCCAUCAAGUUUUGCAGCAAUUGCCUACCUACCAAGCCAUCUCACUUGACUGAGGUAGGCAGUUUUAACAGGGUUUGUGUGUCUUUUAUUUUCUGAAACGUGUUCAUUCCAAUCUCAGAUGUCGCCCAAGUACCCCAAUUUUCACAAUGUCAAACUACUUAAAAGCUAAAAGCAACAUAAAAUGACUCUACUUAUACUAUUUUCCUUGGGGUGUGCCUCUCCUGAGAUGACCUUUGUUUCUCACUCUCUAACUAGACUGCCUCAUAAACAAAG